GCCAGGCACAGUGGUGCAUGCCUGUAAUCCUAUCAGCUCUGGGAGGCUGAGGCAAGAGGAUCACAAGUUCAAAGCCAGCCUCAGCAAUGGUGAGGUGCUAAGCAACUCAGUGAGACCCUGUCUCUA
rnacentral:sRNA from 1 species